rnacentral:lncRNA from 1 species
GGGGAAGGGUCGCUGGUGACCGACCGGGAGAUGAUGUCAGAGCAGGACAGGGGCACGGGUCAAACGGAGGCGGCACCUUCGAUCCAGCCCAGAGCAGAGAGCUCCGCCGUAAACAAGCUGCUGCCUGGGGUUUCUGCAUCCUGUUAACUCGGCCUCCCUCCCUUGCUUGCUCAGCUCUCCCGUGGGUGGUCCAGCUGAAACCUGUGGUUUGGAGAGUGUCAAAGAGCUCGUAUGUGUAAACACAGCGUUCUGGCCAGCGGAGGCAGCGCUCACAAGCGAGCCAGGCCAGGAGUUCCUGGCUCCUAUUCCUCUUCCCUGCUUGCUCAGAGACGCCGAGAAGCCUCACCCUUCUAGAUCUCCGUCCUGUCUGCAUGUCCAAAAGGCACAUAGGAGGCCAGGAUGGCAUACACAACUGUCUUGGGAAAACAGACGGCGGGAAUUCUGUAGUGGGCAUCUCACCGUGGCAUCCCUCGGCUUCCCC